rnacentral:rRNA from 1 species
GAUGAACGCUGGCGGCGUGCUUAACACAUGCAAGUCGAACGAAGAAGGUUGGAAGUGAGAGCUUCGGCAGGAUUUCUUUCCAUCUUAGUGGCGGACGGGUGAGUAACGUGUGGGGCAACCUGCCCUGUACUGGGGAAUAAUCAUUGGAAACGAUGACUAAUACCGCAUAGGCGCGGACGGGACAUCCCGUCCACGUUAAACGUCCUUACGGGGACGGCUGAAGGAUGGGCCUGUGGCGGCAUUAGCUUGUUGGCGGGGCAACGGCCCACCAAGGCGACGAUGCGUAGCCGGCCUGAGAGGGCGGACGGCCACACUGGGACUGAGACACGGCCCAG